UGCAUAGCCCGGGAGACCAGAACAGGAGGAGCAGAGGGAUAUGAGGCCCAGGAAGUACACGGGCCCCAAUCCGACUUACACCAAAGUGAGAGCUCUUUUGGUGGGUGAGCGACAAGAGCCUGAGGGAGGCCAGGAUGGAGACAGAGGUGCUGGUGGCCAGUUUAUGGACCCACCUUAGAGAUGAAGCUGACCUGAUUCUUCUGAUAGAUAAGCUGGGGGACCCCAACAAUACCAUUCCUCCAAGUGGCCUCAGCCAAGCCAACUCUGACACAGAAGCAGGCAGUGGCACCUAAUCAUAAAAGUGGCAGAAAGCAGGAAGCGAGGCAGCCGGCACGUGGUGCCCACGUAUCCACUUAAAUCAGGCUCGUGUCAACCUUUUAUACCGCUUGUUUGCUGAUUCAGUAAUAAGCCCAAGUAAAAACAAAACAAAACAAAACAGAUGAGGGAGCGAAAAAGAGAAGUCAAAGAUGACACGGCUUAAAGAGUCUCCACUAACUGAGAUGCCCAGAGGGGGUGGGGUUUGGAAGGAAGAGUCGGGGCGUCUGAGCUGCUAGAGCAGCACGCCUUGCGGCCUGCUGUUUGCUUUGCAGGGUUUUUUUUGGGGGGGGGUCGGAUAUUUUGCUUUGGACCCCGCCUGCAUUCAGGAUCCAACAGUGUCGACGGAGACACCUCCCUGUGGGCCUGGGCGCGGGCAUGGAGCCCCCGAGGCCUCUGAGCGGUGGCCUUCUGCUGUGCUCUCUGUCCUGCCUCCUGCUGGAAACCGGAGCAUCCUCACUGUCACCUUUAUCUGCCUUCGGGAUUCAAGACGGAGCAGGACUGAAACCACGCUCGAGGGGUGUGUUUGCUGUUAGGGCGCAUGGUCCCCUCUUCAUAGGACUUUAGGUUCCUGUCUCCGGUCAGAGAAGCCCAGGUCCGGGCUGAGCCCCUUCGCGGAUUACCUGGGGGACCUCAUCCGGAACUCCAUCCCCCCAGCAGCCGUUUUUGCGUUUCUUAUCAGCUCAGCAAUAAUGGGGAGCCUCUGCUGCCUCACGAUUCUCAUAGGUGAACCAGUGCAAUGACGUCUAGAAGAUUCAGUUGGGCAAGCAGAGGGUUUGGCUUGCUGGAUUGCAAGAGAGUGGAGAGUGGCUUACAUGGAGGAAGCACCUAUCAGUUAAAAUUAAAUUGUCUUCCUGCUUAAACUACCUUUCUCUUUAUUUUCGCCUUUAAAACAUGCAAUUGCAAAGGUGAUAAUACACUUAUUGCUGCUUUCAUUACAAAAUAAUACAUAUGAAUUGCAAAACAAUUCAUAAAAUAUAGAAGAAAGAAAAAGUACCCAUAAUUCGUACAACGAGAAAUAAACAUUGAUUACAUCUUGGUGUAUUUCUUUUCAAGCUUUUCCCUAUGCUUAUACUACCAGCUUCCCCAAAUUUGUUCUCUGAAACAAUAGUUCUGUUCUAAUAAAUGUUAUGAAAUAAUAGGGCUUUGGGGCCAAUUAAGUUGGAGAGAUGCUGAAUUAAACAAAUUUAAGCAUGUUUCUUUGCUCCAGGCUAAUAUGAAUCUCCACAAAAGGGUGUGAUACGAAGCUUUUCCCAAGUAAAUUGGAACAUGAGGUUU